GGGUUCAUAUCUCAAUGGUAGAGCAUUUGACUGCAGAUCAAGCGGUCAACAUUUCGAAACUGGUUGGGCCCU
rnacentral:tRNA from 1 species